rnacentral:misc_RNA from 1 species
CUCGGCCUCACCCAACUUGGCUAGCACGGCCCAUAAUCGGAGCCCAUGGGCCGAGAAUGUUUGGUAUUUUCAUGAGUAAUUUCUCUACUUCUCAUUUUUCAUCUUUCCAACGUAAUCAAAUUCGCAACGUAUAAUGUUGAGUAUAAUGUUGAGUUGAUGAUUUUCUUAUAAACAUCGAUCACAGUUGCACAAUUUCAAUUUACUUGGAAUUAGUUUUAAGUAUAGUAAUGUCAAUUUAACAGUCAUCCAUCUCCAAAGAAAAAGCAGGCAAAUUCCAUACAAUUACAUAUUUCAUAACAGGAUUGCAGAAGCAACCACCACAGCAGAGCAAAGAGUUCCUAAUGAGAACUUCUCCUAACAUCACGGAGAACAACUUGUGCAGCAUUACGACCUGGUGCACCCAUCACUCCACCUCCUGGAUGCGAUCCACUCCCACACAUGUAUAGUCCUCUCACUGGUGUCCUAUAACCUGACCUGCAAUUCAACCCAAAACUUUCUUUACAUUCACAUAGCAUAGUUCAAAGCCUCAAACUCGUUUUUUCCACUUUUCAUUUUAUAAAUCAUAUUAAUCAUAGAUUGUGGAGAAUUACCAUCCUUUGACAGGCCGCAUCAAGAAAAGUGAAUCCAAACCCAUGGCACCGUGAAAAAUAUUUCCUCCUGUGACAUAUACUCAGACAUUGUAACUUCGCCAUUUAAAGAGAGAAUCUGUUAUUUCAUGUCUCAAAAAUCUCAUGUUAUGGAAGAUUUAAUGCUUAAUAUUAAUUUGAUCAAGAAUAUAUCAAGAAUAAUUUGGUUGAAUUUUUCCAAGGAAAAGUUUGAAAACAUACCAUGUAGUUUAACACCUUUCCAUUUG